rnacentral:rRNA from 1 species
GACGAACGCUGGCGGCGUGCUUAACACAUGCAAGUCGAACGAAGAGCGAUGGAAGCUUGCUUCUAUCAAUCUUAGUGGCGAACGGGUGAGUAACGCGUAAUCAACCUGCCCUUCAGAGGGGGACAACAGUUGGAAACGACUGCUAAUACCGCAUACGAUCUAAUCUCGGCAUCGAGGAUAGAUGAAAGGUGGCCUCUACAUGUAAGCUAUCACUGAAGGAGGGGAUUGCGUCUGAUUAGCUAGUAGGAGGGGUAACGGCCCACCAAGGCGAUGAUCAGUAGCCGGUCUGAGAGGAUGAACGGCCACAUUGGGACUGAGACACGGCCCAGACUCCUACGGGAGGCAGCAGUGGGGAAUCUUCCGCAAUGGACGAAAGUCUGACGGAGCAACGCCGCGUGAGUGAUGACGGCCUUCGGGUUGUAAAGCUCUGUUAAUCGGGACGAAAGGCCUUCUUGCGAAUAGUGAGAAGGAUUGACGGUACCGGAAUAGAAAGCCACGGCUAACUACGUG